UACGUAGACAAUUCAAGCACUACUUUCUUUCCUGUUUUUCCAGAUCAAAUGCUCCUAAAUCAUCAUGAUGAAGAAGAUAUUAUGGGAUGCAUCUUAAACAAAGUGCUGAACACAGUCUGAGUGACUGCAAGUUCAGGGAAACUUCCUGCUGAGACUUCACUUAGACCAACUGAUAUCUUCUGCCUGCCUGGAGAAAACCUUUGUCCUCGAGCCUGAAGGCACUUAAAAGUAAGCCUGUUUGGUCUGCCCCUAUUAACCAGCAGUACUGAGAGAGAAAAUCGCUUUUCCCUAGUGUUCAGCACUUGAGAGCCACAGGAUUGAGACUGUUUAUUCAGACUGCUUGGUUCUUUGGUAUCAUCCAAUGGGACAGGCUGAGUCACUACUUGACUGAUUUCUCUUCACGUGAAGGUUUCAGCACCUUUGCACUGCUGUGAAUCCCAAGCAAUGAUCCUGGUUUGUCCUGACAGCAACCCCCAUGCUUCAUUGGACUUCCUGGACUGGUGGUCAGAGAAGCUACUCCCCUGGGCUCUGAACUCCUCUGCUUGAGAUGAUGGGGGAAGGCAUCAGCACAGCUGCCAGAUGGCACCACCUGGGAGAUUUUAUGUUACUUUUUGUACUGCCUUUUCUCAACAGGCAAGCCCUUGGGGCAGAUAAGGAUGCAUUAAGUGACUGAAAGACAUGCAGUUGUCUCCUAAAAGGUGUCAGUUCAGUAUUACUGUAUACGAGAGACAAUUGUUCUAUUUCUGUCCAUAGUCUGAAAUAAUUUUCAUUUGGAUUGCUGAAGGUCCUUCUUUGCUGAAUGGGACCUUUGUGUAAUGCUAAAAGGAAUAAUCUGUUUAAUGUUCUGUUUCCC